GAUUGGUUAAUAAUUUUGGAAAAGCAGUAUUUUCCUAAGCAAACACUUUAUUUAUCCCUUUUCCUAUAAUAAAAUUUUUCUUUCAGAGAAUUUUUGUGACCGUGUGCAAUGCGGUUGGUAGAGUCAGUGUUUAUUCCGUCAUGUAAUUAUCAAUAUUUCUUAGAGCACAAUAGCUCUCAUUAAAUUUAAUUAGAAUAUAAUUUAAUACGCGAAAUUAGAGUCAGUGAGUUCGCCGAUUGUUAUAAACGGACAUGUUGUAGUCUUUUAUUUUCUUUUUUUUUUUUUAAUAUUCGCUUUCGGUAGUAGAAUUGCAGGUCUCGCAAGAGGACACAGCCUCUCCUGGAGCACAAGAAUAUUUUUCACUACCAUUUUUUCCUGUUCUUUGGAAGGAGAUACUAGUGCUUCAAAACUAAGCAUGUUUUUACUCCUUCCUUUUACGGAAGGUUUUUACUCCACCCUUCGUUCCCUGGGAAGGAUGUAAUGGUGCAUUAAAAGCCAAGAGUAUUUUUUUCAGUUUUCAUUUCUUUCAUUCGGCGAUUCCUGCUGACUAAUGAGCUUCACGAUAACUCUUUUUAGACCACUCUUCUUGUUAGACCAAUGUCAUGACAACAUUCUUCGCAUCUAAUCGUGAGUCGCAUGCUUUUCUGUUCCUCUAGUCACUCAAUCAUGUCGUAGGAUGAAAGGUCCGAAUCGACACGAGUGAUUGGUUGUAUUACAUAGAAUUUUUGACGGGCAUAGUGACCAUAGCUAUUUAUUAUAGCUGUGAGUAGUAACAUUUUUUGCUUAUAUUUUAUUUAUUAGUUCAGGAUAGGUUUUCUUGCACAUCGCGUUUUUU